rnacentral:rRNA from 1 species
AGUGAACGCUGGCGGUAGGCCUAACACAUGCAAGUCGAACGGCAGCACAGUAAGAGCUUGCUCUUACGGGUGGCGAGUGGCGGACGGGUGAGGAAUACAUCGGAAUCUACUUUUUCGUGGGGGAUAACGUAGGGAAACUUACGCUAAUACCGCAUACGACCUACGGGUGAAAGCAGGGGAUCUUCGGACCUUGCGCGAUUGAAUGAGCCGAUGUCGGAUUAGCUAGUUGGCGGGGUAAAGGCCCACCAAGGCGACGAUCCGUAGCUGGUCUGAGAGGAUGAUCGGCCGCACUGGAACUGAGACACGGUCCAGACUCUUACGGGAGGCAGCAGUGGGGAAUAUUGGACAAAGGGCGCAAGCCUGAUCCAGCCAUACCGCGUGGGUGAAGAAGGCCUUCGGGUUGUAAAGCCCUUUUGUUGGGAAAGAAAAGCAGCAGGUUAAUACCCCGCUGUUCUGACGGUACCCAAAGAAUAAGCACCGGCUAACUUCGUG